AGUGUUGCAAGGCGAACGAGGGGAAGUGAAACAUCUCAGUACCCUUAGGAAAAGAAAUCAAUUGAGAUUCCCUCAGUAGCGGCGAGCGAACGGGGAUCAGCCCAUUAAGUUAUGUGUGUUUUAGUGGAACGCUCUGGGAAGUGCGAACGUAGAGGGUGAUAUUCCCGUACACGAAAGGGCACACAUAAUGAUGACGAGUAGGGCGAGGCACGUGAAACCUUGUCUGAAUAUGGGGGGACCAUCCUCCAAGGCUAAAUACUCCUGACUGACCGAUAGUGAACCAGUACCGUGAGGGAAAGGCGAAAAGAACCCCUGUGAGGGGAGUGAAAUAGAUCCUGAAACCGCAUGCAUACAAGCAGUGGGAGCACCUUCGUGGUGUGACUGCGUACCUUUUGUAUAAUGGGUCAGCGACUUAUAUUCAGUAGCGAGGUUAACCGUAUAGGGGAGCCGUAGAGAAAUCGAGUCUUAAUAGGGCGUUUAGUUGCUGGGUAUAGACCCGAAACCAGGCGAUCUAUCCAUGAGCAGGUUGAAGGUUGGGUAACACUAACUGGAGGACCGAACCCACUGUCGUUGAAAAGCCAGGGGAUGACUUGUGGAUAGGGGUGAAAGGCUAAUCAAGCCUGGUGAUAGCUGGUUCUCCCCGAAAGCUAUUUAGGUAGCGCCUCGGACGAAUACCAUAGGGGGUAGAGCACUGUUUCGGCUAGGGGGUCAUCCCGACUUACCAAACCGAUGCAAACUCCGAAUACCUAUGAGUACUAUCCGGGAGACAGACUGCGGGUGCUAACGUCCGUAGUCAAGAGGAAAACAAUCCAGACCGCCAGCUAAGGCCCCAAAAUCAUAGUUAAGUGGGAAACGAUGUGGGAAGGCAUAGACAGCUAGGAGGUUGGCUUAGAAGCAGCCACCCUUUAAAGAAAGCGUAAUAGCUCACUAGUCGAGUCGGCCUGCGCGGAAGAUGUAACGGGGCUAAAACUAUGUGCCGAAGCUGCGGAUGUAUACUUUGUAUACGUGGUAGGGGAGCGUUCUGUAAGCCGAUGAAGGUGUGUUGAGAAGCAUGCUGGAGGUAUCAGAAGUGCGAAUGCUGACGUGAGUAACGACAAAACGGGUGAAAAACCCGUUCGCCGAAAGACCAAGGGUUCCAGUCCAACGUUAAUCGGGGCUGGGUGAGUCGACCCCUAAGGCGAGGCCGAAAGGCGUAGUCGAUGGGAAAAUGGUUAAUAUUCCAUUACUUCUGUGUAAUGCGAUGAGAGGACGGAGAAGGCUAAAUCAGCCUGGCGUUGGUUGUCCAGGUGAAAGGAUGUAGGCAUGUAUCUUAGGCAAAUCCGGGGUACUCUAUGCUGAGAUCUGAUAGCAAGCUGUACUUGUACAGCGAAGUGGUUGAUGCCAUGCUUCCAGGAAAAGUCUCUAAGCUUCAGUUACACAGGAAUCGUACCCGAAACCGACACAGGUGGUCAGGUCGAGUAGACCAAGGCGCUUGAGAGAACUCUGCUGAAGGAACUAGGCAAAAUGGUACCGUAACUUCGGGAGAAGGUACGCUGUUGUUGGUGAUGGAACUCGCUUCCUGAGCUGACGACAGCCGCAGAAACCAGGCCGCUGCAACUGUUUAUUAAAAACAUAGCACUCUGCAAACACGAAAGUGGACGUAUAGGGUGUGAUGCCUGCCCGGUGCUGGAAGGUUAAUUGAUGGGGUUAGCGUAAGCGAAGCUCUUGAUCGAAGCCCCAGUAAACGGCGGCCGUAACUAUAACGGUCCUAAGGUAGCGAAAUUCCUUGUCGGGUAAGUUCCGACCUGCACGAAUGGCAUAAUGAUGGCGGCGCUGUCUCCAGCAGAGGCUCAGUGAAAUCGAAAUCGCUGUGAAGAUGCAGUGUACCCGCGGCUAGACGGAAAGACCCCGUGAACCUUUACUGCAGCUUGACACUGAACUUUGACCUUACUUGUGUAGGAUAGGUGGGAGGCUUUGAAGCUGGAACGCUAGUUCCAGUGGAGCCGUCCUUGAAAUACCACCCUGGUAAUGUUGAGGUUCUAACUCUGUCCCGUGAUCCGGGACGAGGACCGUGUCUGGUGGGUAGUUUGACUGGGGCGGUCUCCUCCUAAAGAGUAACGGAGGAGUACGAAGGUGCGCUCAGCGUGGUCGGAAAUCACGCGUAGAGUAUAAAGGCAAAAGCGCGCUUAACUGCGAGACCCACAAGUCGAGCAGGUACGAAAGUAGGUCUUAGUGAUCCGGUGGUUCUGUAUGGAAGGGCCAUCGCUCAACGGAUAAAAGGUACUCUGGGGAUAACAGGCUGAUACCGCCCAAGAGUUCAUAUCGACGGCGGUGUUUGGCACCUCGAUGUCGGCUCAUCUCAUCCUGGGGCUGAAGCAGGUCCCAAGGGUAUGGCUGUUCGCCAUUUAAAGAGGUACGCGAGCUGGGUUUAGAACGUCGUGAGACAGUUCGGUCCCUAUCUACCGUGGGCGCUGGAAAUUUGAGAGGAUCUGCUCCUAGUACGAGAGGACCAGAGUGGACGAACCUCUGGUGUACCGGUUGUGACGCCAGUCGCAUCGCCGGGUAGCUAUGUUCGGAAGGGAUAACCGCUGAAAGCAUCUAAGCGGGAAGCCUACCUCAAGAUAAGAUUUCCCUAGGACUUUAUGUCCUCUAAAGAGCCGUUCGAGACUAGGACGUUGAUAGGUUGGAUGUGGAAGCAUAGUGAUAUGUGAAGCUGACCAAUACUAAUUGCUCGUGAGGCUUGACUAU
rnacentral:rRNA from 1 species